UUAAUUAGAAUUUCGCCCCAUCAAUUGCGAUGGUAAGGUAGUGGCUUACCAUGGUUGCAACGGGUAACGGGGAAUCAGGGUUCGAUUCCGGAGAGGGAGCAUGAGAAACGGCUGCCAGAUCUAUGGAUUGCAGCAGGUGCGAAAAUUAUCCACUUUUGGCAUAAAGAGAUAGUGAUGAUAAAUAACGGAUCUGGGCAUUUGUUCAGAGAUCGUAAUGAAAUAAUCGUAAAAGCUUUAUUGAAAGCAAUUGGAGGGCAAGUCUGGUGCCAGCAGCCGCGGCAAUUCCAGUUCCAAUAGUGUAUACUAAAGUUGCUGCAGUUGAAAAGCUCGUAGUUGGAUCUCGGUUUGCUGGCGCACAAGGUGCGCAAGUAGGCCUGUGCUGUAGUUGAGUGCUACGGCUUUACCUUGAACAAAAUAGAGUGCUUAAGGCAAGCAUUCUGCUUGAAUAUCUCAGCAUGGAAUAAUAGAAAAAGACUUUCUAUUGGUUAGCCAGUGAAAGUAAUGAUUAACAGAGACAGACGGGGGCAUUCGUAUUGCACCGCUAGAGGUGAAAUUCGUAGACCGGUGCAGGACGAACUACAGCGAAAGCAUUUGCCAAGGAUGUUUUCAUUAAUCAAGAACGACAGUUGGAGUAUCGAAGUCGAUUAGAUCUCGUCGUAGUUCCAACUAUAAACGAUGCCAACUAGCACUCCGCUAAUAAUGUUUGUUACAUUAGCGGGUGGCUUCCGGGAAACCAAAGUCUUUGGGCUCCGGGGGAAGUAUGGUUGCAAAGCUGAAACUUAAAGGAAUUGACGGAAGGGCACCACCAGGAGUGGAGCCUGCGGCUCAAUUUGACUCAACACAGAAAAACUCACCCGGGCCGAACACAGUAAGGAUUGACAGAUUGAUAGCUUUUUCUUGAUACUGUGGGUAGUGGUGCAUGGCCGUUGUUGGUUGGUGGAGUGAUCUGUCUGGUUAAUUCCGAUAACGAACGAGACUCAAGCCUGCUUAUAAGUUGGUCGAUUCUGGUCGAACAACUACUUAGAGGGAUCAGUGUAUAAAACACUUGAAAAUGAGCAAUAACAGGUCUGUGAUUGCCCUUAGACGUUCGGGGCUGCACGCGCGCUACAAUGAAGAAAGCAGUGGGUGACUUGCUUGAGAAGGCAAGCCAAACCUUAAAAUUUCUUCGUGGCAGGAAUCGAGGCUUGUAAUUAUUCCUCGUGCACAA
rnacentral:rRNA from 1 species